UGAGGGAAUAUUUGGGGUCAAUGGGCGCAAGCCUGAACCAGCCAAGUAGCGUGCAGGAUGACGGCCCUCCGGGUUGUAAACUGCUUUUAGUUGGGAAUAAAGUGCGGGACGCGUCCCGUUUUGUAUGUACCAUCAGAAAAAGGACCGGCUAAUUCCGUGCCAGCAGCCGCGGUAAUACGGAAGGUCCGGGCGUUAUCCGGAUUUAUUGGGUUUAAAGGGAGCGCAGGCGGACCCUUAAGUCAGUUGUGAAAUACGGCGGCUCAACCGUCGGACUGCAGUUGAUACUGGGGGUCUUGAGUUCACACAGGGAUGCCGGAAUUCAUGGUGUAGCGGUGAAAUGCUCAGAUAUCAUGAAG
rnacentral:rRNA from 1 species